GAUGAACGCUAGCGGCAGGCCUAAUACAUGCAAGACGAACGGUAAGUUGAGUAGCAAUACUUAGCCAAGAGUGUCGUACGGGUGCGUAACACGUAUGCAACCUACCCCUAUACAGGAGGAUAGCCUAGGGAAACCUGGAUUAACCCUUUCAUAGUAUUAUUGGAUGGCAUCAUUUGAUAAUUAAAACUGAGGUGGUAUAGGAUGGGCAUGCGUCUGAUUAGUUAGUUGGCGGGGUAAUGGCCCACCAAGACGAUGAUCAGUAGGGUUCGUGAGAGGGAAGACUCCCCCACACUGGCACUGAGAUACGGGCCAGACUCCU
rnacentral:rRNA from 1 species